UUUUUUUUUUUUUUUUUUUCUCCUUUUGAGACAGGAUCUUAAUAUGUAUGUAUUCCUUACUGGCCCGAUUGAACACAAGGCCUUACAACAUACUAGGUAAGUGUUAUACCAUUGGUUGGACUAAAUACCCAGCCCACAGACUUCAUCUUUUAUGAGGCAUAUCUAUACCUCAUAGAGCUCAGGCUGGCCUCUUCCACAGACAAAAUACCAAAGGAAGUACACUUGGUUCUCUCUGGAGAGGUGCACUAAUCCUGAGGGCCAGGAUUGCAGGCAUGUGCUACUGAGUCCUGUUUAUCAUCCCCCCACCCUUUCUUUUUAGUUUUUGUGCUGGGGUUUAGCCUGCAUGUGUGUCUAUAUGCUGCUUGCAUGCCCAGAGUCCAGAAAAGGUGUAUCCAGUCUCCUUGGAACUGGUGGUGUAGACAGUUGUGUAUGUGAAGCAAUACAUGAGUACUAGGAAUUAAGUCCAGGUUCUCUACAAGAGCAGUGUGUGUACUGUUAACUGCUAAGCCAUCUCUCCAGCCCCUUAAGUCAGCGUCUUAAAAUGAACUAGCACCUUUCCUUUACAUGUUAAAGAAUUAAACCCAGAACUUUCAUUCUUCCACACACCUCUGCUACCUAGAACAUGCUGGUUGGUGUUGCAGGUCUGCAGGUGCCCAGGUCCAGGCUUUUCUUGUGGUUUCUGAUGGCAAUGGAUAUGUGGGACGCUGUCCUGGUUGUUGAAGGUUCGAGUGGCAGAAGUUUGGGCUGGUUCUGCUCUACACAAGGGCUUAAUGAUGUCCUCUAAGUCUGGAGUAAGGUCCCACAUUUCAAGGUUCUCUUCAAGGUUAUCUACAAAGAGAACCACGGUGUCAUUCACAAAAGCUUCCAUGUUUGACAACCAUAAUGGUGCAUGUGGCAGCCAGCAGGGAGCAGAUGAACAGUUUUCAGGCUAGAGAGUGAGGCCCUGGCUCAGGACUAAAAAAAAAAAAAUUCCAGGCUUUGAGCUCCCUCUGGCAAAUCACAAAAUUUAAUUCCCACAAAUAUCCUAAAUCUUUCCAUUGGUCAGAGCAAUUUGGAGACCUCUUUCCAUUUUUAUAAAACUUUAAGGCACUAAAAAUCAGGUGAAAGCCAGAGAGACGGCUCACCUGGUAACAUCACUUGCCACACGGCUCAGUUAUCUAAGUUCAAGACCUAGGCAAAUGGUAAGAAAGAACUGACUACAAAGUUGUCCUCUGAUCUAUACAUAUGUACCAGGACAUACAUAAAAAUCAAAUGAAAGUGAGGACUUUUAUGAUUCCUUUAAGAUGGAAUCUACAGGCUGGAGAUGCAGCUCACUGGUACAGCAGCACUUGCCUAGUAUUGCAAGGUGGGAUCAAUCCGCAACACGCCACAUGACACCCCAAACUAAUAUGAAUUCUGUAUCUUCCAAAAAGCACACAGUACAGUAAUUUAACACUUGUAUUACCUGGAAAGACGACUUUCUCCUGGAGGAGUUCUGAGGCUGCAGUUACAGGGGUGCUGUGUUUUGGAGGGGCUGGAAGUACUGCUACAGUUUGCACAGGAGAGACAAAGGAUAAGCCAGAGGUCACAUAUCAACUCUGGGAUUAAGUUUAUUCCCCUCCUGCACAGAGUACACCUCUCCUGAGAGAGAACCAAGUGUACUUCCUUUGGUAUUUUGUAUGUGGAAGACAAGGUCUCUCAUGUAGUUCAGGUAGGCCUUGGAUUCCCUAUAAAGCGAACAUGACCUUCAACACCUGACCCUACUGGGUAAGAGCAAUGUGCCAGCACAGCAGGUCUGUGUGGUACAGGGGAUAGAACUCUGGAGUGGCACCCUAACCUAUUUCCACUUUAAUAGCAAAGGCAGAACACUGUUAGCUAUCUAGCCCAGUGGAUCUGAGACAAGGACAGUAGAUCCUAGAUGAUCCACCUACCCCACCCCCGCUCUUCAAGCUCCUGCCAUGACCUAAAAGCCAAACUUUUAGGAUAAUUCAUUACUCAUGAUGAGCCCAAGAUGGUACAUGUUUUGGUUUUUGUUGUCUUCCUUUUUCCUACAAUAACUUUACUGUUGUGCCAAGGAGUGAUAACAGACCCAACACACAACUGUCUCUUGCAACCUUUACUCACUAAAGCUCCCUGGUCUGGGAAUACUCCAUUACAAAUGUCUGCGUAACACCAGAGUCUGUGAGACCUGUGCUUGAAACUUAAGCUCCUGAGAGAGGAGUCAGUCUGCCGGAAGCUCAUUAUUUUCCAACUUGGUCUUAUAUCCAAAAGCCAUCUAAGAGGCAAAUACCAGAAACGGAGGGGGAGGGGGUGGGGUGAGGGUGGGCGUGUUCUUUGAGACAGGGUCUCACUCUAUAGUCCAAGCUGGCCUAGAACUCAGAUCCACCUGCCUCUGCCUCCCAAGUGCUGCAGAAGAUUAUGUCAAUCACAGCCCAUUGACCUCCCUAAAAAGCCUGUCGUCUUUGUAACUGGGAAGGUGUAGGGCAAAUUUUAUCAUCCUAAUUCUAUGGGGUCAUCGGUCGUACACGUCCUAGUGAGACAUGGCCUGGAAUGGUCCCUGGAUCUCCCUCUCACACACCCGCAUGCUUGGCUGCCACCUCUUCGGCAGGUGCAUGGCUCUGCCGGCGAGUCUCCAUCUGUUCCCGGAACUGCUGCUGGAGCUGCUUCUGCCGGAGCUUCCGGAGCUUCCUCUGGUGAGUGGCGUCACUCUCCAAGGUGGCGGCCAGACUGCUGCAAACCAAGUUAACCACAAUGGACCCGGCUUGAGGAAGCACACAAACCACUUGCUGGUUUCAAGUGCAGGAGUGGAAAUUGACCAAAGCCACACGAGAAGGGGCCAGAGAGGAAAAGGGGAACCUGAGCCCAGUACCAGGAGCUGCUGAUGUCCUUAGCCCCCUGAAGCUUAAUGUUCGAGUCAUGUGGGGGGCUUGAUCUGCAAGGGGAAGUCACUUCCUGUGGUUUGGGGAGUCCCAAUGCUUCAUUCUGUCGGCAGCUGUUGUAUCUUGCCUGUUCUACAGAUGGUUCAAAAUCUUCUCUCUUUGUUUUAGUUAAAUCCACAUCAAGAGGGAGCUAGUAAGAGGAGAAAGAAACAUUGAGUGCGCCACACAUCCAGCUUCCCUUCCCCACCAUGCAUAGCUAUUCAGACACAGCACUUGAUCCUUGACCCAUCUGUCCUCACAAGGUGACUGAAAUGACCCACAAUUUCCAAACUAGUUUGUUUUUUAAUUGGGUUUCUCUGUUUUCUAUAUUCAUGUCAAACUCUUAGGCUAGGCAGCUGGAACUGCAGACAUCUGACAUUUUAACAAAAGAAAGUCAUUUGUAUUUCAAACCAUCCUAUAUUAAUAAAGUUUUAAUAAAAAUGAAUCUUUACUUUUGAAAAUAGUAUUUGAGUCUUGCUUGCUGAUCUGUCCUUGCUGUCUACUUACAGCUUCUUCUGUGCCCAGUGACACAUACCUAAAAUGAAGCCUUAGCAAGCAGAGGGCAGCUGCAAGCUCAAGGAUAACCUGGGCUUCCCCCUGACACUCUGUCUUAGAAGGGAAGAAAAGGGAAGGAAGAAGGGAGAGAAGGAGGGAGG
rnacentral:lncRNA from 1 species